UUCCCGUCGAUACAUUGAACAGGUGAGGAAAGUUCGCCUUGCGGAGGAUUCAAGAACUCGAGGGAUUGGAAAUCUGAAUAAAAACGAACUGGAUAAAUCUAAUGUCCAGAGAAAAUGGGUGUAUGAAGAAAUAGCCAGCAUUUCAUCAGAGAAGAGUAAAAAUCCUGCGUCGUCACCUCACACAAUUGUUGCUUCCUUAACUGAAGUAGGAUCUAAUGCUGCACUUAACUUUCUGUUUGCAUUUUUCCGUCGCGUAUGGCAAUCAGGCGAAGAGGGGGUUGCCUGGUUUGAGAUGCUGAUUCACGCACUAGAAUCACAUCGCAGUUGACCUCUCGCGUCUAUCUUUCACCUUCUACAUCAAGUGAAUAAUAGCACAUAUGACUCUGAUUCAGGUUGCUCAACAAAUCUGUCUUAUUUCUGCGUUCCAUUAUUUUCGAAGAUAGUUUGUGUUCCAUUCCUCUAUGGGAUCGACAAGUGGCGCUACAGCUUCUUUUAGAAGUCAGCAUUUAGCGUGGAAGUCUCGUCUGUGUUUUAC